rnacentral:lncRNA from 1 species
CUAAACAUGAAACUUGCAGCAGGGUAUGCUAUAACUGCAGGAGGAUGUCCAAGUUUUCUAUUUGAGGAGUUUGAUUCAUAUUAUACUUAAGAAAAAUAUGCAAGAAACAUAUAUACAUGAGGAGCUUGAUUCAUAUUACAAACAGUGGAAAGCGGGAAACAUGAAUCAAGUACUAUAUAGAACAAAUCAAAAAUAUAAUAACAAAGAAAUUAUAGAUUACUUGCUAAUUGCUAGCCAUGCAGCCACCCCUUGUCGAGCACUCCGACCAUCUGAUGCCUCCACGAUAUCCAUCCAAGCCCAUGCCAUGCCUUUUGAUACAUUGAUCCAGUUAUAGAUUGUCGUGCCAUGGAAAACCAUGGAGUUAGAGGCUGGUUUCAAGACAGAUGAUUUUUACCUAAUUGUUCAUAUUAAUGAAGAUAAGAUGCAUAGUAUGUUACGAAAAGAGAUAGGAAACAUCAAGAAAAUAAUAGUGUAAUUUGGUUGCAACACGAAUAUAAAUCCAAGGAGCUAGAAACCUAUCAACAGGUGAAUCAAUUCCUUACAUGCAGAAGUCAGGACUCAUGUCAUACUUCCAUUUGCUGAAGCAAUACAUGUGUGAUCAGUAAGCGACCAUACUGGAAUUCACAGUAGCUAAAACCAUUUAAGGAUUUGAGAUAAAGAUUUAAAUCCUACUUGUCAUCUGCAUACAAUGUUAGGCUAUUGUGCAAGUUUCCUCACAGAUUCUUUCUGUUAGAUGCUAGUGCACACUUCAGAGUACUGUUUGACGAAGUAGAUCUAGUGGCAUGCGUGUUCUGCUACACAUAGUCGAAUAACACUAAUCUACUAAUUUAAAGAGAACAUAUUUAGCCGCCAAUAUUCUGACCAUUAUCACUAUCCAACACAUUGUAAAGACAUGAAAAAUCACUGUGAGGGCACUCUGAAAUUGUAGCUGGAAAUUCCUUACCAUAUUUUCUGUAGUAAGUGGCAGCUAUGAGCCUAUGAUUUCUGAAUACUGUACCAUGGUUACAAUUGCAGGAAAAUUUAAUAUGAAUGUUUUGUAUUAAAAAGAUAAUCAGUUUCCAAAUACAACAUAUGAACCAUAAACAGAAACAUCUGUAACUCAAUAAGACAUACAUGAAGAUAAAUUUUUGCACAGCCAAAAAUACCAAAAUCUUACAAAUCUAUCAAGGAAAUAUUAUACACUCUCUAUUAGAUAUAAUUUUAAGAAAACGACAGGUUGGUAAAUAUAUUAAAUAUCAAAAGUACAACAAAAUAUGAUUUGUCAAAAAGACAUCAUCCACUUUUCUUAAUCACGGAGAGAAGAAUUAUUUGUUAAACACGCAGAUAAUCUAAGCUAGCACAUAUUGGAAGAAACAACACUAAGAAUCUAAAUCUGGAGAACAUCUAUAAAGCUUCUAUAAAUAUCAAACGAAACUGGGUGACAGUAAUUGAUUUCUAUAUGUAUACACAACGCUAGUUUACUGCAGGUUGUUGCAGACUAUCUUACCUAGCCCAUUCUUCUUCAAUCCCAAUAUUUCAAAAUCUGGUAAGCGCUGUGAUGGGAAACAUGUACAAAAUAGUUUAUUUUCUCUUCAUCAGACAUCACGGAUAAAGAAAAAUUAUUGGGAUCUCUUGGACGAAUUCAUCGAGAACAGUGGGGGAUCUAGUGAGACGUGGUUACUUGCCUAUGGUGGGGCGUAGGAUUGACCGGAGAUGAAAUCGAACAGGGUUUGCGCCUUGGGGUCAGAUCACCCGUCAUCCACUCAAAACCGAAGUUUGAAUUAAGUAUUGCUGCUGGAUCCGUGCUUCUCUUCCUGGAAGCAGCGAAGGUAUGAACAUAACGUGGUCAGCAUGAGGGGUUGAAGAUAGAUUGGAUGGGAAUUUGAUUGAACCCUUACUCCUUAGAUGAAUUGCAGCACCAGAUGGGACUUCGAAGUCAAUGAUGGCAGAAGUCACGAUGGGCGACAUGAAGUGGCGGAGGAGCUGCGGCAGAGAAGACACGGGGGAAGAGGAGGGAUCGCUCGACACACAUGGGCGGAGAGGCGUGGAGGAGUCUUUUGGAGACUGCGUGAGAGAAGGAU